rnacentral:rRNA from 1 species
CCCUUAGAUGUUCUGGGCCGCACGCGUGCUACACUGAGUGGAUCAGCGGGUCAGGUUGCGCGAAAGCGUUUCCUAAUCUUUAAAUCCGCUCGUGAUGGGGAUUGACGGUUGCAAUUUUCUGUCAUGAACGAGGAAUACCUUGUAAGCGCGGGUCAUCAUCCCGCGCUGAAUACGUCCCUGCCCUUUGUACACACCGCCCGUCGCUCCUACCGAUUGAGUGGUCCGGUGAGGCUUUGGGAUCUGAGCGGAAAGAGCGUUUCGCUGUUUCUGCUCUGAAAACUCAGUCGAACCUUAUCAUUUAGAGGAAGGAGAAGUCGUAACA